GUCCUUUUGGUAUUAAUUUAAGGUUUAACCUGCCCAAUGAAAAUUUAAAUGGCCGCGGUAUUUUAACUGUGCUAAGGUAGCAUAAUCAUUAGUUUUUUAAUUAAAAGCUGGAAUGAAGGGUUGGAUGAGAAAUUAACUGUCUCUAAUUAAUUUUAUUAGAAUUUUAUUUUUAAGUUAAAAAGCUUAAAUUUUUUUAAAAGACGAGAAGACCCUAUAGAGUUUUAUAUAUUUAAUUUAUAAAUAUUUAGAAUUUAUUUUUUAUAAUUAGUUUAUAUUUAAUUGGGGUGAUUAAAAAAUUUAAUAAACUUUUUUUAUAAAUUUAUAUUAAUUAAUAAAUUAAUGAUCCAGAUAUUUUGAUUAUAAGAUAAAUUACCUUAGGGAUAACAGCGUAAUUUUAUUAAAGAGUUCUAAUCGAAAAUAAAGUUUGCGA
rnacentral:rRNA from 1 species